GUUUGGGUGGUCUAGGGUAUACUAGGGUUCUAAAGCUCUGUGACAUCAUCAUGAGUCUCAGAAAUGGCCAGAAUGUUCCUUGCUGCAGAUGCAUUGGCCCCAUCUGCAGGUCCUCUUUGACACCUACCUUACUCUCUCCCUCCACUCACACUCUGAGAACUGUGCUCAGGGGCAGCGCUACAACUUCCACAUUGGUCUUUACAGGGCUUGAGUGAUUAUUUCAAGAACAGAACGCUGUGUGGAAACCUUUACCAUAUUUCGUUGUAUCUAAGACACAUUUUUUUUUUUUGAAAUUUAACAUCUCUAAGGUUGGGUUAUGUUUCUUCAUCAUUGUCAGGUUGGAGCUUAAUCAGCAGCACUUUUUUUUAAUGUCACACACAGUAAUGGUGAUGCAUCUCACAAUUGAGAUCAUCUUAGACAUGAUGGAAUAUGGAAUCGUGUGCCUGUUACAAGCCAGGCUCUUGUCUGGGUUCUAGAGACGGUGGAAACCAAGACAGCACCAUCCUCUAGUGGUGUUCACAUCCCACCACAGUGGAGUCAGGACUUUGAAGUCCUCCAUUGGAUCUUCUCGGAAGAUGAGGGAAAUGAGAGAGUGUGGAGAGAGAUUUUGUAAGUCCGGUCUGGAAGUGGUCAUUGUUCAGAAUCCAGCCACGUGGGUACAUGGAACUGUAAGAAUAUGUUCUGUGGACACUACAGAUGCAGAUUAAAUCACCUGCAAAGUGAAUCUGUCAGCCCUAACAAUAAGAAUAGCUCUUUUAUGAUGAGCAGGUGAGACCAGGUAAUUACCGAAGAAAGAGAGUGAUGUGUUCAUUGAAGUCUACUCAUGGAGGAAAGAAGGCUAUUUCAACAUGGGAAACUGAAAUCGGGCAUAUCCCUGCGGAAGAAGGUAUGUGAGACACCAACCAGAGUUCGUAAUUCUAAUGACCUCUCCAGAUUUAUGGCUGCAGCAUUCCCAAGAAGGGGUAGGGAGGGGCAUAUAAUGAGCUACCCUCAGGGGAUCAGAAAGAAAAGGGAAGCUGUCUCUUAGCGAAGAAUAAAACUGUGGACUGACCCCCACCCAUUUGCGAAGAAAGUACUGGGUCUUCAGCUUUCAUUGUUCAGCCGGUGGUCUUUGUGGACAACACCAGGGGCCCCUCCUGCUGAAGACUGUCUGGACUUCCUGAUUUUCACUCCUGUAUAAACCCCCUCCCCCAUUACUACCUUUGUCUCCUUGGGGAAAAAAAAUGUUUUUCACUUAAGCAAAAUAAUAACUACCCAGUAUUUGUUUCUGGAGUGAAAUUGUAAACUUCAUUGUACAUUCUUCCUGGCUUUGAUGCUUAUCGUGAAGAGUUCAGUGAAAAUAAAUUGUUUUUAUGAAAGCAGAGAAACCAUUUGAUAAACACGCUGUCUCUGAAAAUCGUUCCUGCAAAAGAGGUCAUUCUUUCACUUUAAAAGAAAUAGAAUAUAUUUCAGAAAACAGGCAGGACAACAUACAAAUUUUUUUUUAAGGCAGAGUGUAAAUACAGU
rnacentral:lncRNA from 1 species